rnacentral:rRNA from 1 species
AAGCUUCGGCAGAUUUAGCUGGUUUCUAGUGGCGGACGGGUGAGUAACGCGUGGGUAACCUGCCUUAUACAGGGGGAUAACAGUCAGAAAUGACUGCUAAUACCGCAUAAGCGCACGAGAGGACAUCCUCUUGUGUGAAAAACUCCGGUGGUACAGGAUGGGCCCGCGUCUGAUUAGCUGGUUGGCAGGGUAACGGCCUACCAAGGCGACGAUCCAUAGCCGGCCUGAGAGGGUGAACGGCCACAUUGGGACUGAGACACGGCCCAGACUCC